CCGUUCAACUCGUUCCUCCUUGGAGAGGAACUACGGGAG
rfam:Mesorhizobium loti R7A genomic scaffold MesloDRAFT_Scaffold1.1, whole genome shotgun sequence.